rnacentral:sRNA from 1 species
AGUUGAGUACGAGCGGCAGCUGCGGGCGCCGGCAAUCGAGUGGCUUCCUGGCCAUGGAGAGGAGAUCUGGACCCGAGGACGCCAGGGACUCCUCUCCGUCUCCCUGGACCGCUGUGUAGGCACCUGAGUUAACGGACGCUAAGCGGGGUAGGGGAAGUAACAGUGUAUCAUGUAUGCCACUGAUUCCAGGGGACACUCCCCUGCUUUCCUCCAACCUCAGAAUGGAAACAGUCGUCACCCAUCUGGCUAUGUUCCAGGGAAGGUUGUCCCAUUGCGUCCCCCUCCUCCUCCAAAGAGUCAAGCUUCAGCCAAAUUUACCUCCAUCAGACGAGAAGACCGGGCAACCUUCGCAUUCUCACCUGAAGAACAGCAAGCCCAGAGAGAAAGUCAAAAGCAAAAGAGACACAAAAAUACUUUCAUUUGUUUUGCUAUUACUAGUUUCUCAUUUUUUAUUGCACUUGCAAUCAUUUUAGGAAUAUCCUCAAAAUAUGCUCCAGAUGGUAAGUGUGUGUGUAUGCACAUAGAACAUAUUCUAGAAGACA